AGAGCGGGCAAUUACACCAACGUCGAUGACAUCUUACUAUGCAAUACUUGGUUGCAAGUGUCGAGGGAUCCAUCCGUUGGAGGUGAUCAAAGUAGAGAUGCUUAUUGGGGGCGGAUGAAAGAACACUUUGAUGUUCACAACUUGAGUGGAAUUGACCGCUCCGAGAGAUCACUUCGGUCCCGAUGGUCGACAAUCAACUCGGAUUGUCAAAGGUGGGCGGCCUGUCAAAAGGCGGUUGACAAGUUGAACCCAAGUGGCACAAAUGAGGACGAUAGAGUAAGUGAAGAGGAGAGGACAACCAAGAAGGGAAAGAUCAAGAAAGGAAGGGUCUUUACCUUGCCCCAUUGCUAUAACGUGUUGAAGGAUGAUGAGAAAUGGAAGAAGCGUGAAGAUUUGGAUGAUUUGCAUUUGAGCAACAAACGCAAGCGAACAAUUAAGUUGGAUGAUGAUGAUGAGGAGGAUGAUGCAUCAAGUGAUGACGGCAAGAGAAGCCCCACACCCAACUCGGUUUCAUACUCGAAGCCAAAGCGACCGGAUGGGUGCAAGAAAUACAAAACCGAAAAGAAGAAGAGGAAAGGAGAUGAUGAGCUCAAAAAUGCUAUGGAAGCUAUUGUGAAGGCAAGAAAAGAAGCCAACGAGGUGAGGAAAAUGGCAAGGAACCAAGAUGCCGCGGCCGAGGAGAGGAGGUUGGCGGCCGAGGAGAGGAAGGUGGCUUUGGAGGAGAGGAAGGUGAGCAAUGAGGAGCGAACUAGAUUGUUGGAAUGGGAGAAGCACUUGUUCUUCUUGGACACAUCUAACCUCAAUGCGGCGCAAAAGGAGUAUGUCAAUCUUGCCCGUGAAGAAGUCUUG
rnacentral:rRNA from 1 species